CGCGUAGGCGGCCUGCUAAGUCGAACGUGAAAUCCCCGGGCUCAACCCGGGAACUGCGUCCGAUACUGGCUGGCUUGAAUCCGGGAGAGGGAUGCGGAAUUCCAGGUGUAGCGGUGAAAUGCGUAGAUAUCUGGAGGAACACCGGUGGCGAAGGCGGCAUCCUGGACCGGUAUUGACGCUGAUGCGCGAAAGCCAGGGGAGCAAACG
rnacentral:rRNA from 1 species